AAAUUGAAGAGUUUGAUCAUGGCUCAGAUUGAACGCUGGCGGCAGGCCUAACACAUGCAAGUCGAACGGUAACAGGAAUCAGCUUGCUGAUUCGCUGACGAGUGGCGGACGGGUGAGUAAUGUCUGGGAAACUGCCUGAUGGAGGGGGAUAACUACUGGAAACGGUAGCUAAUACCGCAUAAUGUCGCAAGACCAA
rnacentral:rRNA from 1 species